rnacentral:rRNA from 1 species
UGCAGUCGAGCGGUAACAGAUCUAGCUUGCUGGAUGCUGACGAGCGGCGGACGGGUGAGUAAUGCAUAGGAAUCUGCCCGAUAGUGGGGGAUAACCUGGGGAAACCCAGGCUAAUACCGCAUACGUCCUACGGGAGAAAGGGGGCUCCGGCUCCCGCUAUGGGAUGAGCCUAUGUCGGAUUAGCUAGUUGGUGAGGUAACGGCUCACCAAGGCCACGAUCCGUAGCUGGUCUGAGAGGAUGAUCAGCCACAUCGGGACUGAGACACGGCCCGAACUCCUACGGGAGGCAGCAGUGGGGAAUAUUGGACAAUGGGGGAAACCCUGAUCCAGCCAUGCCGCGUGUGUGAAGAAGGCCCUCGGGUUGUAAAGCACUUUCAGCGAGGAAGAACGCCUAGCGGUUAAUACCCGCUAGGAAAGACAUCACUCGCAGAAGAAGCACCGGCUAACUCCGUGCCAGCAGCCGCGGUAAUACGGAGGGUGCAAGCGUUAAUCGGAAUUACUGGGCGUAAAGCGCGCGUAGGUGGCUUGAUAAGCCGGUUGUGAAAGCCCCGGGCUCAACCUGGGAACGGCAUCCGGAACUGUCAAGCUAGAGUGCAGGAGAGGAAGGUAGAAUUCCCGGUGUAGCGGUGAAAUGCGUAGAGAUCGGGAGGAAUACCAGUGGCGAAGGCGGCCUUCUGGACUGACACUGACACUGAGGUGCGAAAGCGUGGGUAGCAAACAGGAUUAGAUACCCUGGUAGUCCACGCCGUAAACGAUGUCGACCAGCCGUUGGGUGCCUAGCGCACUUUGUGGCGAAGUUAACGCGAUAAGUCGACCGCCUGGGGAGUACGGCCGCAAGGUUAAAACUCAAAUGAAUUGACGGGGGCCCGCACAAGCGGUGGAGCAUGUGGUUUAAUUCGAUGCAACGCGAAGAACCUUACCUACUCUUG